UACGAAGGGGGCUAGCGUUGCUCGGAAUCACUGGGCGUAAAGGGUGCGUAGGCGGGUCUUUAAGUCAGGGGUGAAAUCCUGGAGCUCAACUCCAGAACUGCCUUUGAUACUGAAGAUCUUGAGUUCGGGAGAGGUGAGUGGAACUGCGAGUGUAGAGGUGAAAUUCGUAGAUAUUCGCAAGAACACCAGUGGCGAAGGCGGCUCUCUGGGACGGUACUGACGCUGAGACGCGAAAGCGUGGGAGCGAACAGG
rnacentral:rRNA from 1 species